rnacentral:rRNA from 1 species
UAACUGAAUACAUAGGUUAACGAGGCGAACCGGGGGAACUGAAACAUCUAAGUACCCCGAGGAAAAGAAAUCAACCGAGAUUCCCCCAGUAGCGGCGAGCGAACGGGGAGCAGCCCAGAGUCUGAAUCAGCUUGUGUGUUAGUGGAACGGUCUGGAAAGUCCGACGGUACAGGGUGAUAGUCCCGUACACCAAAAUGCACAGGUUGUGAACUCGAAGAGUAGGGCGGGACACGUGGUAUCCUGUCUGAAUAUGGGGGGACCAUCCUCCAAGGCUAAAUACUCCUGACUGACCGAUAGUGAACCAGUACCGUGAGGGAAAGGCGAAAAGAACCCCGGCGAGGGGAGUGAAAAAGAACCUGAAACCGUGUACGUACAAGCAGUGGGAGCACCUUCGGGUGUGACUGCGUACCUUUUGUAUAAUGGGUCAGCGACUUAUAUUCUGUAGCAAGGUUAACCGUAUAGGGGAGCCGCAGGGAAACCGAGUCUUAACUGGGCGUUAAGUUGCAGGGUAUAGACCCGAAACCCGGUGAUCUAGCCAUGGGCAGGUUGAAGGUUGGGUAACACUAACUGGAGGACCGAACCGACUAAUGUUGAAAAAUUAGCGGAUGACUUGUGGCUGGGGGUGAAAGGCCAAUCAAACCGGGAGAUAGCUGGUUCUCCCCGAAAGCUAUUUAGGUAGCGCCUCGUGAACUCAUCUUCGGGGGUAGAGCACUGUUUCGGCUAGGGGGUCAUCCCGACUUACCAACCCGAUGCAAACUACGAAUACCGAAGAAUGUUAUCACGGGAGACACACGGCGGGUGCUAACGUCCGUCGUGAAGAGGGAAACAACCCAGACCGCCAGCUAAGGUCCCAAAGUCAUGGUUAAGUGGGAAACGAUGUGGGAAGGCACAGACAGCCAGGAUGUUGGCUUAGAAGCAGCCAUCAUUUAAAGAAAGCGUAAUAGCUCACUGGUCGAGUCGGCCUGCGCGGAAGAUGUAACGGGGCUAAACCAUGCACCGAAGCUGCGGCAGCGACACUAUGUGUUGUUGGGUAGGGGAGCGUUCUGUAAGCCUGCGAAGGUGUGCUGUGAGGCAUGCUGGAGGUAUCAGAAGUGCGAAUGCUGACAUAAGUAACGAUAAAGCGGGUGAAAAGCCCGCUCGCCGGAAGACCAAGGGUUCCUGUCCAACGUUAAUCGGGGCAGGGUGAGUCGACCCCUAAGGCGAGGCCGAAAGGCGUAGUCGAUGGGAAACAGGUUAAUAUUCCUGUACUUGGUGUUACUGCGAAGGGGGGACGGAGAAGGCUAUGUUAGCCGGGCGACGGUUGUCCCGGUUUAAGCAUGUAGGCUGGUUAUCCAGGCAAAUCCGGAUAAUCAAGGCUGAGGUGUGAUGACGAGGCACUACGGUGCUGAAGUAACAAAUGCCCUGCUUCCAGGAAAAGCCUCUAAGCAUCAGGUAACAUCAAAUCGUACCCCAAACCGACACAGGUGGUCAGGUAGAGAAUACCAAGGCGCUUGAGAGAACUCGGGUGAAGGAACUAGGCAAAAUGGUGCCGUAACUUCGGGAGAAGGCACGCUGGUGUGUAGGUGAAGCCCCUGCGGGUGGAGCUGAGACCAGUCGAAGAUACCAGCUGGCUGCAACUGUUUAUUAAAAACACAGCACUGUGCAAACACGAAAGUGGACGUAUACGGUGUGACGCCUGCCCGGUGCCGGAAGGUUAAUUGAUGGGGUUAUCCGUAAGGAGAAGCUCUUGAUCGAAGCCCCGGUAAACGGCGGCCGUAACUAUAACGGUCCUAAGGUAGCGAAAUUCCUUGUCGGGUAAGUUCCGACCUGCACGAAUGGCGUAAUGAUGGCCAGGCUGUCUCCACCCGAGACUCAGUGAAAUUGAACUCGCUGUGAAGAUGCAGUGUACCCGCGGCAAGACGGAAAGACCCCGUGAACCUUUACUAUAGCUUGACACUGAACAUUGAGCCUUGAUGUGUAGGAUAGGUGGGAGGCUUUGAAGCGUGGACGCCAGUCUGCGUGGAGCCAACCUUGAAAUACCACCCUUUAAUGUUUGAUGUUCUAACGUUGGCCCCUGACCGGGGUUGCGGACAGUGUCUGGUGGGUAGUUUGACUGGGGCGGUCUCCUCCCAAAGCGUAACGGAGGAGCACGAAGGUUAGCUAAUCCUGGUCGGACAUCAGGAGGUUAGUGCAAUGGCAUAAGCUAGCUUGACUGCGAGCGUGACGGCGCGAGCAGGUGCGAAAGCAGGUCAUAGUGAUCCGGUGGUUCUGAAUGGAAGGGCCAUCGCUCAACGGAUAAAAGGUACUCCGGGGAUAACAGGCUGAUACCGCCCAAGAGUUCAUAUCGACGGCGGUGUUUGGCACCUCGAUGUCGGCUCAUCACAUCCUGGGGCUGAAGUAGGUCCCAAGGGUAUGGCUGUUCGCCAUUUAAAGUGGUACGCGAGCUGGGUUUAGAACGUCGUGAGACAGUUCGGUCCCUAUCUGCCGUGGGCGCUGGAGAAUUGAGGGGGGCUGCUCCUAGUACGAGAGGACCGGAGUGGACGCAUCACUGGUGUUCGGGUUGUCAUGCCAAUGGCACUGCCCGGUAGCUAAAUGCGGAAGAGAUAAGUGCUGAAAGCAUCUAAGCACGAAACUUGCCCCGAGAUGAGUUCUCCCUGAGACUUUAAGUCUCCUGAAGGAACGUUAAAGACGAUGACGUUGAUAGGCCGGGUGUGUAAGCGCAGCGAUGCGUUGAGCUAACCGGUACUAAUGAACCGUGAGGCUUAACCUUACAACGCCGAAG